rnacentral:rRNA from 1 species
AUUGAACGCUGGCGGCAUGCCUUACACAUGCAAGUCGAACGGCAGCGGACCUUCGGGUGCCGGCGAGUGGCGAACGGGUGAGUAAUAUAUCGGAACGUACCUUUCAGUGGGGGAUAACGUAGCGAAAGUUACGCUAAUACCGCAUAUUCUGUGAGCAGGAAAGCAGGGGGAUCGCAAGACCUUGCGCUGAUUGAGCGGCCGAUAUCAGAUUAGCUAGUUGGUGAGGUAAAGGCUCACCAAGGUGACGAUCUGUAGCGGGUCUGAGAGGAUGAUCCGCCACACUGGAACUGAGACACGGUCCAGACUCCUACGGGAGGCAGCAGUGGGGAAUUUUGGACAAUGGGCGCAAGCCUGAUCCAGCCAUGCCGCGUGAGUGAAGAAGGCCUCGGUUGUAAG